rnacentral:rRNA from 1 species
AGUGAACGCUGGCGGCAGGCCUAAUACAUGCAAGUCGAACGGCAGCACGGCAGAGCUUGCUCUGUGGGUGGCGAGUGGCGGACGGGUGAGGAAUACAUGGGAACCUGCCCAGUCGUGGGGGAUAACGUAGGGAAACUUACGCUAAUACCGCAUGCGCCCUUCGGGGGAAAGCCGGGGACCUUCGGGCCUGGCGCGAUUGGAUGAGCCCAUGUCGGAUUAGCUAGUUGGCGGGGUAAUGGCCCACCAAGGCGACGAUCCGUAGCUGGUCUGAGAGGAUGAUCAGCCACACUGGAACUGAGACACGGUCCAGACUCCUACGGGAGGCAGCAGUAGGGAAUAUUGGACAAUGGGCGCAAGCCUGAUCCAGCCAUGCCGCGUGAGUGAAGAAGGCCCUCGGGUUGUAAAGCUCUUUUGUCCGGAAAGAAAAGCGCCGGGUUAAUACCCUGGUGUCCUGACGGUACCGGAAGAAUAAGCACCGGCUAACUUCGUGCCAGCAGCC